UACGGGGGGGGCAAGCGUUGUCCGGAUUUAUUGGGCGUAAAGAGCGUGUAGGCGGCCUGGUAGGUCAGCUGUGAAAACUCGAGGCUCAACCUCGAGACGCCGGUUGAAACCAUCAGGCUAGAGUCCGGAAGAGGAGAGUGGAAUUCCCGGUGUAGCGGUGAAAUGCGCAGAUAUCGGGAAGAACACCCGUGGCUAAGGCGGCUCUCUAGUACGGUACUGACGCUGAGACGCGAAAGCGUGGGGAGCGAACAGG
rnacentral:rRNA from 1 species